GCAGUCGUGGCCGAGUGGUUAAGGCGAUGGACUCGAAAUCCAUUGGGGUUUCCCCGCACAGGUUCGAAUCCUGUCGGCUGCU
rnacentral:tRNA from 1 species